CGCGAGACACCUCUCUCUCCUGCAUCGCUUACAAUGACUUUGGAACAAGGCAGUCCGACUGGUUGGAUUUAGACGUUCAAUAUGCCCCUGUAAUCCUACCGGAGUCCUCCUGCCUCCUGACAGGGAAAAGUCUGAAGUGUGUCUGCAGGGCUGAAGCAUCCCCUUACCCCUCUAUACAUUGGAGCAUUGAUGGAAAUUACACUCUUCCGUCUUCCUUCAGCUUUGUUUCCACAAAUGUAGUCUCUGGGGAAAUAAAUUGUGCAGCUCAAAGGCAAUCCAAAAUAUCUUGCACCGCCACAAACUACCUGGGCAGCAACACAAAAUUGCUGUCCGUAGAAACAUCCUCCAUGUAUAUCUGGCUGUUAGCUUUUGUGAUCCCAGGAAUUGGUUUGCUAUUUGGAAGUGCAGUGUUCAUUUACAGGAAAAAAUCGAGA